CUUCAACGAGCCCAGCCGCACCGGCUCGGCGCGGUCCCGCCCGUAGGUCGCGAACACCGCCCGCGCCUC
rnacentral:antisense_RNA from 1 species